GUUUAUUUAAACAAUGAAAAUACUUGUGUAUUAUAAAACACACAUUAUUUAGUAGAAGGGGAAACUGUUUAAUUCAAAAUAAUAGGGAUAAAGACUGCACAAAAAUAUACUAGGCUACCAGCUAUAUGCCAAGAUCUUUUAUUAUAUAACUGUUAGUUGAUCAUGUUGAUUAAAACCUAUUAAGUCAAUUUAUUGACGGCACCUCACCACCUAAAAAAUUUUAUUUUCAUUUUUAAUAAAGAUGUUAUUCCCAUAAAGAAAAAUAUCAAGAGUUAUCCACCCUCCCAUACCAUUUUUACCUAAAAUAGCCCUAAAGUUAUCUUCUUUAUACGACCGCAAAAAUUGAAAAUUUUUUGGUCAUAUAUUGGUAUCACGUUGGCAUCGUUGGCGUCGACCGAAGGCAUUUGAUUUUCGCUCUCUAACUUUAGUAAAAGUGAAUAGAAAUCCAUGUAAUUUAAACACAAGGUUUAUCAUUAUAAAAAGAAGGUUGGGAUUGAUUUUGGGAGUUUUGGUCCCAACGAAUUAGGGGCUAAAAGGGUCCAAAAUUAAACUUUGUUUGAUUUCAUUAAAAAAUUAAUUAUUGGGGUUCUUUGAUAUGCCAGAUCUAACCGUGUAUUCAGAUUCUUAAUUUUUGGUCCUGUUUUCAAAUUGGUCUAUAUUAAGGUCCAAAGGGUCCAAAAUUAAACUUAGUUUGAUUUUAAUAAAAAUUGAAUUCUUGGGGUUCUUUGAUAUGCUGAAUCUAAACAUGUACUUAGAUUUUCGAUUAUGGGCCCAGUUUUCAAGUUGGUCCAAAUCAGGGUCCAAAAUUAUUAUAUUAAGUACUGUGCAAUAGCAAGAAAUUUUCAAUUGCACAGUAUUCCGCAAUAGCAAG
rnacentral:lncRNA from 1 species